GAAUCGGAGCUGUAGCCACCGGCCUACGCCAGAGCCACAGCAACGCGGGAUCCGAGCCGCGUCUGCAACCUACACCACAGCUCACGGCAACGCCGGAUCGUUAACCCCUGAGCAAGGGCAGGGACCAAACCCGCAACCUCAUGGUUCCUAGUCGGAUUCGUUAACCACUGCGCCAUGACGGGAACUCCUAUGGUUCAUUUUUCAUUCACUCAUUCCACUCGUAUGGAUUGAUCACCCUUUAAAUGUCAGACACUGUUCUAAGGGCUUAGAAUACAUAAGUGAACAAAAGAGCCAAAGAUCCCUGGGCUUAGGAAGCUUGUCAGGGAGAAAGACAAUAUAACCAUAGGUCCUAAUAAAAGUAUAUGGUAUAUUAGAAGGUGAUAAAUGCUUUGGAAAAAGUAGAUCAGAGUAAGGGAUUUGUAAUGGUGAGAAUAGGAGGGAAGGAUAACCAUUUUAAACAUGGCGGCCAAGGUGGCCUUUGGGGAGCGUGGUGGCAGCCUCCUGGAGAGCACGAUGUGGUGCUGGGGCUCUGAGAGCAGAGAGAGGUGCCUCCACCCAGCCAGGGGCUUGAUGGAGGACUUCUAGGAAGAUGGUCCUCUGACCAGACUCUGUGAAGGAUAAGAUGGGAAGUCGGCCGACAGUAGGGAAGAUAGCUGGAAAAAGUGUUCCAAGCAGAGAAAGCAGGCUGGACAGCAUCCCAGAAGUGACAGAGGAAGUGGCUCUGUGGAGCAUCACAGACCAGUCACUCUGGCUGGAGGGCAGAGGGGUGUGAGGGAAAGGUGUCCAUCCCGGGGCCAGUGAGAGCUUGAGUGAAGAUCAGAGCCCAGGGAUGGCAGAUGGGAGGUGGCUUCCCAGUACCUGCCUCUGUGCCUCUUGCUUAGCAGAGCACAGAUUUUUUUUUUUUCCAGAGCAUGGAGCUGGAGUGGCGCAGAGCUCUGCUCCAGCUGUGCUGAGCACAGGUCUGCCCAGCGCUAUCUGGCCCCUCAGAGCCAGAGAUGCGCCUCCCCAAGAAAUCAAGCAGGCUUCCAUUAAGCAUGCCCUGCUCAUAGCUCACCCACCUUGGGAAAGGUGGGGGUGGUGGCAGUGUUCCUAGCCCUGGGUCUCUGGCAGGGGAGCCGCUGAGACUGUAACUGUGGCUUCUGAUCUCAGAAGGAGGCAGGAAGCUGUGGCCAAGGCCCCAUCGACAUUUGCACAUCGAAAAGGAGAAAGGAAGUGUGUGCCAGGAAACGUGAGCAUCAGCCCCUCCCUGGCCUGAGCCUGUGUGGCCUCAGUCCAGCAGAGUCUGGAUCUGACCUGAGACCUUGCGAUGGCAGCAGUGCUGACUGUGUUCCCGAUGUCACUGCCUGCCCUUGGAGCAACGGGUGGUCAAAGUGGUCAGUGAUGACAGCGACUCUGGGCCCCAGAGGAUGUGGAAUCUGUGACCAGAGACCUCAGGGUGAUAGGAGACCUCCCCCCACACACCCCACCUCAAGGUCUCUCCAGCCUGGGGCUUCCCAUGACUGCAGCCGCAAAGGUUUCUCAGGCCCCUUUUCUCUGACGCUUUUUCCAUAGAACAGCUAGGAAGUGUGAACCACUGUCUGGAGCCCUGGUCUCUGAAAGCCUCAUAGAUUCUCCCUUCACAGGUCUUCUCGUCUGCUACCACACCCCCGCUCUGCCCAGAAGAAGCCUGACAAAGGACCCAGGGCUUCCAUUGCACUCGGGUACCGCAUCCCACAUUAGUAAGACCUCAUCCGCCUUCUGCUCCUACGAUGGCCACAAGCAUUGCAGAAAUUCACACCCUCUCUAAUGCGGCGAAUGUUAGGUCUUAGGAUACAACAGUGAACCGGACCAGGCCUGCCGUCAUGGAGAGGGAAAGAAACAGACCGAGAAGUGAACACAUACAAACAAGGUAAUUUCAGACAAUGAUAAGCAUUAUUAAUAAGAUAAAACAAGAGUUCCCAUUGUGGCACAGUGGAAACGAAUCUGACUAGGAACCAUAAGGUUGCGGGUUUGAUCUCUGGUUUCGUUCAGUGGGUUAAGGAUCUGGCAUGGCUGUGGCUGUGGCAUAGGCCGGCAGCUACAGCUCUGAUUCGACCCCUAGCCUGGGAACCUCCAUAUGCUGUGGGUACAGCCCUAAAAAGCAAAAAAAAUAAAAAA
ensembl:lncRNA